rnacentral:lncRNA from 1 species
GCAGACCUCUCGCUGCUUCAGGAGGACCUGCAGGAGGACGCAGACGGAUUUGGUGUGGAUGACUACAGCUCAGAGUCUGAUGUGAUUAUUAUACCUUCAGCCCUGGACUUUGUCUCACAAGAUGAAAUGUUGACGCCCCUGGGGAGAUUGGACAAGUAUGCUGCAAGUGAGAACAUAUUUAACAGGUAUGUGCAUAUUCUUUUUGUUAAAGUGGAAGUGGAAGGGUGGUUUUAUUAACUUCAGUAGGGAAAAUGAAAGUAUCCACUUUAAAGGAGGUAUUAUUAACAGGCACAAUCUGAGUCACCAAGUUUUAUUCAUAAUCACAGCAUGAGCAGUUUUGUACUUGUUUAUUCUUUGAUCCUAGUAAGCAUACAACAU